rnacentral:rRNA from 1 species
CACGUAGGGGGCAAGCGUUGUCCGGAUUUAUUGGGCGGAAAGAGCUCGUAGGCGGGGGGUCGAGUCGGCCGUGAAAACCUGCAGCUUAACUGUGGGCUUGCGGUCGAUACGGGCAUCACUGGAGUUCGGCAGGGGAGACUGGAAUUCCUGGUGUAGCGGUGAAAUGCGCAGAUAUCAGGAGGAACACCGGUGGCGAAGGCGGGUCUCUGGGCCGAUACUGACGCUGAGACGCGAAAGCGUGGGGAGCAAACAGG